rnacentral:rRNA from 1 species
GGGGGAAUAUUGGGGCAAUGGGGCGAAAGCCUGACCCAGCAACGCCGCGUGAAGGAAGAAGGUCUUCGGAUUGUAAACUUCUUUUAUGAGGGACGAAGGACGUGACGGUACCUCAUGAAUAAGCCACGGCUAACUACGUGCCAACAGCCGCGGUAAUACGUAGGUGGCAAGCGUUAUCCGGAUUUAUUGGGUGUAAAGGGUGCGUAGACGGGAAUACAAGUUAGUUGUGAAAUACCUCGGCUUAACUGAGGAACUGCAACUAAACUAUAUUUCUUGAGUGCAGGAGAGGUAAGUGGAAUUCCUAGUGUAGCGGUGAAAUGCGUAGAUAUUAGGAGGAACACCAGUGGCGAAGGCGACUUACUGGACUGAAACUGACGUUGAGGCACGAAAGUGUGGGGAGCAAACAGGAUUAGAUACCCUGGUAGU